AUUGAACGCUGGCGGCAGGCCUAACACAUGCAAGUAGAGCGGAGGGGCGGACGGGGGAGUAAGACCUAGGAAUCUGACUGGGAGUGGGGGAUAAGGACCGCAAACGGGAGCUAAUACCGAAUACUAUCAGAAUAGGAUAGGUCGGAUUAGCUAGUUGGUGGGGUAAAGGCCUACUAAGGCGACGAACCGUACCUGGUCUGAGAGGAUGAUCAGUCACACGGUAACUGAGACACGGUCCAGACUCCUACGUGAGGCAGCAGUGGGGAAUAUUGGACAAUGGGCGAAAGCCUGAUGCAGCCAUGCCGCGUGUGUGAAGAAGGUCUUCGGAUUGUAAAGCACUUUAAGUGGGGAGGCGUUACCAACAGAAUAAGCACCGGCUAACUUCGUGCCAGCAGCCGCGGUAAUAC
rnacentral:rRNA from 1 species